rnacentral:rRNA from 1 species
UACGGAGGGGGCUAGCGUUGUUCGGAAUUACUGGGCGUAAAGCGCACGUAGGCGGCUUUGUAAGUUAGAGGUGAAAGCCCAGAGCUCAACUCUGGAACUGCCUUUAAGACUGCAUCGCUUGAAUUGUGGAGAGGUAAGUGGAAUUCCGAGUGUAGAGGUGAAAUUCGUAGAUAUUCGGAAGAACACCAGUGGCGAAGGCGACUUACUGGACACAUACUGACGCUGAGGUGCGAAAGCGUGGGGAGCAAACAGG